rnacentral:rRNA from 1 species
AAUAGAUACCCUGGUAGUCCACGCCGUAAACGAUGAGUGCUAAGUGUUAGAGGGUUUCCGCCCUUUAGUGCUGAAGUUAACGCAUUAAGCACUCCGCCUGGGGAGUACGGCCGCAAGGCUGAAACUCAAAGGAAUUGACGGGGGCCCGCACAAGCGGUGGAGCAUGUGGUUUAAUUCGAAGCAACGCGAAGAACCUUACCAGGUCUUGACAUCCUCUGACAACCCUAGAGAUAGGACUUCUCCUUCGGGAGCAGAGUGACAGGUGGUGCAUGGUUGUCGUCAGCUCGUGUCGUGAGAUGUUGGGUUAAGUCCCGCAACGAGCGCAACCCUUGAUCUUAGUUGCCAUCAUUUAGUUGGGCACUCUAAGGUGACUGCCGGUGACAAACCGGAGGAAGGUGGGGAUGACGUCAAAUCAUCAUGCCCCUUAUGACCUGGGCUACACACGUGCUACAAUGGACGGUACAAAGAGCUGCAAGACCGCGAGGUGGAGCUAAUCUCAUAAAAACCGUUCUCAGUUCGGAUUGUAGG